GGCCAGUCUUGUACUGCGCAUCUUGCCGGUACAAGGUUUGGUCAUCCGUAGGGGAAACCAGUUCGUACUUCACUGUACGGCUGGCGGAACCUACAAUUUACUGUGAAAAAAUUAGAGUGUUCCAGGCAGGCAAUCGCUUGAAUACUCCAGCAUGGAAUAAUGGAAUAAGACUUUAGUCGAUUUGUUGGUUUGAGGCUAAAGUA
rnacentral:rRNA from 1 species